CAUGUCCUUUCCUUUCUACUCCAGUCAGCUUGUCGUGCCUACUCUUCAGAUCGAAGUGUAGAUUUUUCACUUCUUUACACAAAAUAUGGAACAACAGACCUAAGCAUACAAAUGAAACAAAAUCUUUUACUGGAUAGAGUCAUAUGAGUUGCAAGUGAUUUCCUAGCUGGGGUCCAAUGGUGACAUGAGUACUUCUCUGCAUUGGUUUUAUGGUCUAAUGACUAACAGACUAAUGUCUUGGAAUUUAUUUUUCCGUGGGCUUGUUCUUGGAAGUUGAAGUGAGAGUGUGAGACCGGCUUUGGAGACUUUACCUACUAUAAGAAUAUUGAUAUUGUUUGUGAUAACUUGCAAACAUAAUUCAAUUCCAACUGCUUACAAGUUAUUGAUUUCUCCAUCUAAUAUACCUUUUUUAGAGCUUAAUAUGUAUCAGUGGUUUUCUCUCUCUUAUUUUAACAUAUUAAUUUGUGAAAUGGGUAGCGUAAUGAACUGUCCAUAGUCAUUUUUGGUGCUGUUGCUGGAUCUGCAUGGUAAAUUGAUUAGUUGUAAAUGAACCAUGCACGUGAAUGUUAAUGAAAAGAAAUUUAUGUCAAUAGCAGAAUAGAAAAGUCUAAUAUUUCCUGUGUACCCCAAUUAUUAUAAAGAGGUUUUCUGUGGGAAAAAUAAUGGGAUAAAGACAUGCUAGCAUAAAAUGUUUACUUUUAAAAAAAAAAAAGUAUUGGGAAGAUCUUGUCACCACAUAUGGUGACAAAUGCUUUGUUAACAUGGCUCUCAUUCUGCCAUGUGGAAAAGUUGUGGCAAAUCCGACCAUUGGUAUCUAGGGAAUGGUCAGGAUUAGCCACAUUUCCAAUUUCAGCCUCAAAUUCAAUCAAUUCAUCAUCCAUGUAAUUCCAUACCCUUUUAUGUAUGUCUAUGCAUCUCUCUAUAGUCCAAUGCAUCCUCUUUGUAGUCUCAAAUUUUUUACACCUUUUUACCCUUCUGGAUAUAUCUAAUUAGGCUGGAACUUAACAUGUGAACAAAAGGGACCAUGGGAUCCCGUCCACAAAAUUUCAGCCCAUCUUACUGUUGAGCGAGGUGUUGUUAUUGAACAAAGUGUUUUUAUUGUUGUCAAUGCCUUCAGUCGGUCUACACACUCACCUGGACACUCACUUGGUCUUGGUAGCUUAUGGAUGAAAUGUUUGAAGCAAGGAGUUGCAGAUUGCAGGUUUCAUGUCAGGGCAGUAACUUUUUUGACUUAUUUCUUCACAUCUGACUGUUGGGUCCUAGAGUGGUAAACAUGAGAUUUGUUGGAAAUGAAGUUAGCUUUCAUCUGGAAUUUGAAUCAGAUUGAUCGGAAAUCUGGAUUGAAAGUUAUGACUCUAACAUCAGACAUGGUCUGUGAGCUUCAGGAUUCUGCUCUUGCACAUCCGGCAGCUUCAAGCCUAAUUUUGGACCUUG